AUGUAACACCAGCUCCAGUACGAUCACCGAAGUUAAGUACCGCCGAGCCUGAUCAGUACCUAGAUGAGUGACCGCUAGGGAAUAUCAGGUGCUGUU